rnacentral:rRNA from 1 species
GUGUCAGCCGCCGCGGUAAUACGUAGGGUGCAGGCGUUAAUCGGAAUUACUGGGCGUAAAGCGUGCGCAGGCGGUUUCUUAAGUCAGAUGUGAAAGCCCCGGGCUUAACCUGGGAACUGCGUUUGAAACUGGGAGACUUGAGUGUGGCAGAGGGGGGUGGAAUUCCACGUGUAGCAGUGAAAUGCGUAGAUAUGUGGAGGAACACCGAUGGCGAAGGCAGCCCCCUGGGCUAACACUGACGCUCAUGCACGAAAGCGUGGGGAGCAAACAGGAUUAGAUACCCUGGUAGUCCACGCCCUAAACUAUGUCAACUGGUUGUCGGGGGAUUAACUCCCUUGGUAACGAAGCUAACGCGUGAAGUUGACCGCCUGGGGAGUACGGCCGCAAGGUUAAAACUCAAAUGAAUUGGCGGGG